UACGAAGGGGGCUAGCGUUGCUCGGAAUGACUGGGCGUAAAGGGCGCGUAGGCGGCCUGCUAAGUCGAACGUGAAAUCCCUGGGCUCAACCCAGGAACUGCGUCCGAUACUGGUUGGCUUGAAUCCGGGAGAGGGAUGUGGAAUUCCAGGUGUAGCGGUGAAAUGCGUAGAUAUCUGGAGGAACACCGGUGGCGAAGGCGACAUCCUGGACCGGUAUUGACGCUGAGGCGCGAAAGCCAGGGGAGCAAACGGG
rnacentral:rRNA from 1 species